rnacentral:rRNA from 1 species
UACAGAGGUCUCAAGCGUUGUUCGGAUUCAUUGGGCGUAAAGGGUGCGUAGGUGGCGCGGUAAGUCGGGUGUGAAAUUUCGGAGCUUAACUCCGAAACUGCAUUCGAUACUGGCGUGCUUGAGGACUGGAGAGGAGACUGGAAUUUACGGUGUAGCAGUGAAAUGCGUAGAUAUCGUAAGGAAGACCAGUGGCGAAGGCGGGUCUCUGGACAGUUCCUGACACUGAGACACGAAGGCCAGGGGAGCAAAACGGG